GUCCAGACUCCUACGGGAGGCAGCAGUGAGGAAUAUUGGUCAAUGGCCGGAAGGCUGAACCAGCCAAGUCGCGUGAGGGACGACUGCCCUAUGGGUUGUAAACCUCUUUUAUAAGGGAAGAAUAAAUGCUACGUGUAGCAUGAUGCCUGUACCUUAUGAAUAAGCACCGGCUAACUCCGUGCCAGCAGCCGCGGUAAUACGUAGGGGGCAAGCGUUAUCCGGAUUUACUGGGUGUAAAGGGGGCGCAGACGGCAGCGCAAGCCAGGAGUGAAAGCCCGGGGCCCAACCCCGGGACUGCUCUUGGAACUGCGCGGCUGGAGUGCAGGAGGGGCAGGCGGAAUUCCUGGUGUAGCGGUGAAAUGCGUAGAUAUCAGGAGGAACACCGGUGGCGAAGGCGGCCUGCUGGACUGCGACUGACGUUGAGGCCCGAAAGCGUGGGGAGCAAACAGGAUUAGAUACCCCAGUA
rnacentral:rRNA from 1 species